AUACGAAGGGGGCUAGCGUUGUUCGGAAUUACUGGGCGUAAAGCGCGCGUAGGCGGACUGAUCAGUUGGGGGUGAAAUCCCAGGGCUUAACCCUGGAACUGCCUCCAAUACUGUCAGUCUUGAGUUCGGGAGAGGUGAGUGGAAUUCCUAGUGUAGAGGUGAAAUUCGUAGAUAUUAGGAAGAACACCAGUGGCGAAGGCGGCUCACUGGCCCGAUACUGACGCUGAGGCGCGAAAGCGUGGGGAGCAAACAGGAGUAGAAACCCUAGUAGUCC
rnacentral:rRNA from 1 species